CUACAGUUCAACAGGAUGUCCAAAUUCCUGUUAUGGCUCGUGUAAACGAUUAUAGGGUCUUGUAAUCGAUUACAAACCUCUAUUUCACACCAACUUCACUGGACUUGAGGUUUCCAUCAUGGGUGGUCUCUCCUGCAUGUUGGGGGACCCAAAACAUAUGCUUCAACUAACUAAUCACUCAGGAAAGAAAAAAACACUGGUUCAAUCAAGGAUUUCCAUACAAAACACCGAGUGGUCCUCCACGUUGAAACUGGUGGCGCCUACAGUUCAACAGGAUGUCCAAAUUCCUGUUAUGGCUNGUGUAAACGAUUACAGGGUCUUGUAAUCGAUUACAAACCUCUAUUUCACACCUACUCCACUGGACUUGAGGUUUCCAUCAUGGGUGGUCUCUCCCUGCAUGUUGGGGGACCCAAAACAUAAGCUUCAACUAACUAAUCACUCAGGAAACAAAAAAACACUNCUUCAAUCAAGGAUUUCCAUACAAAACACAGAGUGGUCCUCCACGUUGAAACUGGUGGCGCCUACAGUUCAACAGGAUGUCCAAAUUCCUGUUAUGGCUCG
rnacentral:lncRNA from 1 species